UACGGCUCUAUCACGCUGAAACAUCGAUUCUCGUUCGAUCACCACAGUUAAGCAACAUCGAGCCUGGUCAGUACAUAGAUGGUUGACAGCUUGGGAAUACCAGGUGCUGUAA